GGUAAGUUAGCCAAGUGGUAAGGCAAACCGAUGUUGAAAUCCCGUACAGGACAUAGGUUACUCACAAGUUCGAAUCUUGUACUUACCUA
rnacentral:tRNA from 1 species